GACGACGCUGGCGGCGUGCCUGACACAUGCAAGUCGGACGGUUCUUGCACCUUCAAGCUUGCUUGGCUGGUGCAGGGAUAGUGGCGGACGGGUGAGUAACGCGUGAACAUCUACCCAUUGGAGGGGGACAACCCGUCGAAAGCGGGCUAAUACCGCGUAAGCCGUGAGGUGAGAGGCUGCCUAUUGGUGGCCGCCGAUGGAUGGGUUCGCGUCCUAUCAGCUGGUUGGUGGGGUAACGGCCUACCAAGGCGAAGACGGGUAGCCGGUCUGAGAGGAUGGCCGGCCACACUGGAACUGAGACACGGUCCAGACUCCUACGGGAGGCAGCAGUGGGGAAUAUUGGGCAAUGGGGGUAACCCUGACCCAGCGACGCCGCGUGAGGGACGAAGGUUUUCGGAUCGUAAACCUCUGUUGUACGGGAAGAAGGAAUUGACGGUACCGUACGAGAAAGCCCCGGCAAACUACGUG
rnacentral:rRNA from 1 species